UGGGAGUCUGGUGCUUUUAUUUAAUAUCAAAACAAAGAUGAGCACUGCUGCAGUUAGAGGGUAUCAUCCCUGUCUGAUGCCCACAAAUAGAGUCAGUGGCUGACAGGUUCUCUAAGGGGGUGCUGUUAUUGUUAGUUUUCUUAUUGUCUGCCUUGAAUCAUGUUUUUUACAUCUCUUUCUCUGUCUGUCCUUCUCUUCCUCUUUCACUUCUUACUUUUUCACUGUUGUCUACCUCACUGAGUCACAUGUUCUUGUUCUCUAACAGGAAAACUGUACUUCUUGCUUAACAAUCACAAUGUAAAACUGAGUUUACAAUAAAAAUUAACACUUUGGAUGUUAAUUUCAUUACAGCUUGGAAGUUUUUUAAUAUGCUGAAAUAUUAUACUAAAUGAAAAUUCAGUCUGUUGAUUUCAAUGAAAUAAAAAUAACAAAACUAGAAACCAGAUCACAAGAACUGGAACGAUACCAAAUAAAAAGGAACUUACAUCUCUAUUGCCUAAUAAAACAAAAAAAAGGAGAACAUUAGAGAAAAGGUGUCGGUCAAAGAAGUGAGGAGCAAACGACAUUCUUGGUGUUGAUCCGAUGAUGUUGUCGAAGGGCAAGCAGUGCAUCCAAAUCCGGAGAAAUCAGGAGCUGAGGUAAGGAAACAGGAGCGAAGAGUCAGAUGAGGUGAAGAUGCACUAAGGAAGCACAGAAGGAACUGAUCUGUCAAAGUUUCUGUAACCUGGGAUUGAUGGUGUGGCUUCCUUUAUACUCACCCCUGCUGAUACCUGCCAAGUGUGUUCGGCUGGGGUGUGGUCGAGGGUAGGACACCUCACAUGUGACAUGUUAAUCAAUCAUCUUUUUGUUGAUAGUUGUCCACAAUGGCUGAAGUUAUCCCUGCUUCAGAUGGGAAUGAUGCUAUCAAAGAAGGUGUCCAGUAUAUGAACAGUAACAGAACUGAUCUCAUUCAGUGUGUUGUGGAGGUCAUGCCCAUCGCAGAUGAGCUGCUGCAGAGUAACAUGAUUCACAAGGAGACAUACAGUAAACAGGAGUUUUGGAACCAAUCAGGGCAAGAUGAGAGAAUUGUACAUUGCCCUGGAUUCUGGAUGUGACAAAGUGAAAUCUGCCUUUUACACCUCACUGAAGAAGAACUGUCCUCAUCUGGUUAUGGAAUCUACCUCUACAGGUGAACUGGUGUUCUUGUCUGUGUAUGUUGCAUUAAUUAAUUUUUUGUUUUAAUAUUGAAAGCAUAAAAAUGAGAAAAAAAUGGUUUUUGUAUUGUUUCUGAGCACACAAAAAAUGAAAAGGAC
rnacentral:lncRNA from 1 species